UGGGGAAUAUUGCACAAUGGGCGCAAGCCUGAUGCAGCCAUGCCGCGUGUAUGAAGAAGGCCUUCGGGUUGUAAAGUACUUUCAGCGGGGAGGAAGGCGAUAAGGUUAAUAACCUUGUCGAUUGACGUUACCCGCAGAAGAAGCACCGGCUAACUCCGUGCCAGCAGCCGCGGUAAUACGGAGGGUGCAAGCGUUAAUCGGAAUUACUGGGCGUAAAGCGCACGCAGGCGGUCUGUCAAGUCGGAUGUGAAAUCCCCGGGCUCAACCUGGGAACUGCAUUCGAAACUGGCAGGCUAGAGUCUUGUAGAGGGGGGUAGAAUUCCAGGUGUAGCGGUGGAAUGCGUAGAGAUCUGGAGGAAUACCGGUGGCGAAGGCGGCCCCCUGGACAAAGACUGACGCUCAGGUGCGAAAGCGUGGGGAGCAAACA
rnacentral:rRNA from 1 species